rnacentral:misc_RNA from 1 species
AAGUCGUAACAAGGUCUCCGUAGGUGAACCUGCGGAGGGAUCAUUACACAAAUAUGAAGGCGGGGCUGGAAACCCCCUCCGGGUUCAGGCAGCCUUUAGCCAGUGCCAAUUUUGCAUUUGAUUCAAUCCCCAUUCCGUUCGUUUUUCGUUUGCCGGUUAACCUUUUCCUUUGGUUUUUCCCUUUGGGUGGGGGUUUCGCCCACCACUAGGACAAACGUAAACCUUUUGUAAUUGCAAUCAGCGUCAGUAACAAAUUAAUAAUUACAA